GAUGAAGAACGUAGCGAAAUGCGAUAAGUAAUGUGAAUUGCAGAAUUCAGUGAAUCAUCGAAUCUUUGAACGCACCUUGCGCUCCUUGGUAUUCCGAGGAGCAUGCCUGUUUGAGUGUCAUGAAACCCUCAAACCCAAGUUUUGGAUUUCGAUCCAUGCUUGAGUUUGGAUUUGGAUGUUUGCCGGUGAUGAACCGACUCAUCUUAAAAGUAUUAGCUUGGAUCUGUCUAUAUGACUGGUUUGACUUGGCAUAAUAAGUAUUCUGCUGAGGACAUCUUCGGAUGGCCAGGACCUAGACUACUGUCUGCUAACUAAACCAUCACUUUAAGUGCAUCUUUGGAUGUUACUCAUUGUGUAACUUUGACAUCUGGCCUCAAAUCAAGUAGGACUACCCGCUGAACUUAAGCAUAUCAAUAAGCGGAGGA
rnacentral:misc_RNA from 1 species